rnacentral:rRNA from 1 species
UACGUAGGGGGCAAGCGUUGUCCGGAAUCAUUGGGCGUAAAGCGCGCGUAGGCGGCCCGGUAAGUCCGUUGUAAAAGUCGAAGGCUCAACCUUCGAAAGCCGAUGGAUACUGCCGGACUAGAGUACGGAAGAGGCGAGUAGAAUUCCUGGUGUAGCGGUGGAAUGCGCAGAUAUCAGGAGGAAUACCCAUAGCGAAGGCAGCUCGCUGGGACGUUACUGACGCUGAGACGCGAAAGCGUGGGGAGCAAACAGG